GCUGGGUGUGGUGGCGCGCGCCUGUAGUCCCAGCUACUCGGGACGCCGAGGCAGGAGAAUCGCUUGAACCCAGGAGGCAGAGGUUGCAGUGAGCCCAGGUCGUGCCACUGUGCUCCAGCCUGGGUAACAGAGUGAGACUCUGUCUCAA
rfam:Gorilla gorilla gorilla genomic chromosome, chr5, whole genome shotgun sequence